ACGGGGAAGGAUGAGAAGCUUCGACUAAGGUUCGAUUCGAGCGCAGCGAGAAAGCGUUGCCGUAGGCAACGACCCGAAGGGCGAAGCGCGCAGCGCUGAGUAAUCCUUCCCCCACCACCA
rnacentral:sRNA from 1 species